UACGGAGGGGGCGAGCGUUAUUCGGAAUCAUUGGGCGUAAAGGGCGCGUAGGCGGCUUCGUAAGUCUUGGGUGAAAGCCCUCGGCUCAACCGAGGAAUUGCCUUGGAUACUGCGAAGCUCGAGGCUGGAAGAGGACAGUGGAAUUCCCGGUGUAGCGGUGAAAUGCGUAGAUAUCUGGAGGAACACCGGUGGCGAAGGCGGCAUCCUGGACCGGCAUUGACGCUGAGGCGCGAAAGCUAGGGGAGCAAACGGG
rnacentral:rRNA from 1 species